UACAGAGGUGCCAAGCGUUAGGCGGAAUCACUGGGCUUAAAGCGCGUGUAGGUGGACGGGUAAGUAUCUUGUGAAAUCCCACAGCUCAACUGUGGAACUGCUGGAUAUACUGCUUGUCUUGAGGCAUUCAGGGGCAACCGGAACAAAUGGUGGAGCGGUGAAAUGCGUAGAUAUCAUUUGGAACGCCUAUGGUGAAAACAGGUUGCUGGGGAUGUUCUGACACUGAGACGCGAAAGCCAGGGGAGUAAACGGG
rnacentral:rRNA from 1 species